UUGGCGUAGAACAAAUAAUAAACCACACCAGGAUGACGAUUAUAAAGUGGAAUGGCUUAAAAGCGAAUGAAAAAUGCCUUUAUGGAUGUAUUGAUGCUGGAAAGUUUGGGUUUCACUUCCAAGAAUUACUAAGAAAUAUCUGUUUGUUAAAUACCGUUCUAGAGAAAGAGGUAAAUAUUAAACCAUAGAAUGCAUAGUUUAUUUAAAGACCAAUCUACUAUUUUCAUUAGAGAACUUCCUUUCUCUGAGCUUCUCACUGUGUUUAGCUAACGUCGAGGAGCAAUUGAAAAUUCCUCCUUGAACUCGCCAUAACUCACUCUGAAUGACUUAUUUCGACAGUGUAGCGCCUUGAUAAGCGCAGCUAGUUUCGUAUGCAGCUCAGGAUUGUCGCUUGCUCCUCGUCGCUGUCACUGUCGACAUCGUUGAUCAUUGCCAAUGGGCCAGGGAAGAGGUGAAGACCACAGGAACAACAAAGCGGCAAGGAUGCGCCCAAGGAUGCCACAGCCCCUUCUUCUUGCCAAAAAGGAACCACUACAAUCCUCAUGAAAAAUCUUCAUUUUACGAUUUUUGGCGCACGAGGAGAAGGUGGAGAAGGAGAUGGAGACGGAGACGGAGAAGGAAGCAGAAAGCCAAACACACAUAUCAAGGAAGAAAGCCAAAGCUUUCCUACGCCUGCCGAGAUAAAACGUUGGCAUAGAAAUCAGUGGCAUGUAUCUUAUGGAUACAGCAGCCAUUUUUAUUGUGGAUUCACUUCGGGGGAGUGGGCCAGAAUGAAGAUGGAGCUGCCUUCAGCCUCGGCCACGGCCUCUGAGGUGGGCACAAUUGUAGUCGCUGGGGUUGCCUCAACAUUAAAAUAAAUAUGUACAAAUGCUUAGAUAAAUAGAUACGCCAGCCAAGUGAUGUGACUCCUGCAAAGGAUGACAGCCAAAAUGGCGCAAAAGGAGAAACUCCAGGCAACUGGGCCAUGGGCGUAGUAAAAAUGCUUCUAGGGGUGGGGUUAGAUAAUUAAGAUAUGCUAGAUAAGAAAUCCGACGCUUGACUUUCAUCUUAAGUUGUUUAAUAAAAGUAAAGCAUGUUUAACUGGGUAGAAUC